UGGGGAAUUUUGGACAAUGGGCGAAAGCCUGAUCCAGCAAUGCCGCGUGUGUGAAGAAGGCCUUCGGGUUGUAAAGCACUUUUGUCCGGAAAGAAAUCCUUGGCUCUAAUACAGUCGGGGGAUGACGGUACCGGAAGAAUAAGCACCGGCUAACUACGUGCCAGCAGCCGCGGUAAUACGUAGGGUGCAAGCGUUAAUCGGAAUUACUGGGCGUAAAGCGUGCGCAGGCGGUUUGCUAAGACCGAUGUGAAAUCCCCGGGCUCAACCUGGGAACUGCAUUGGUGACUGGCAGGCUAGAGUAUGGCAGAGGGGGGUAGAAUUCCACGUGUAGCAGUGAAAUGCGUAGAGAUGUGGAGGAAUACCGAUGGCGAAGGCAGCCCCCUGGGCCAAUACUGACGCUCAUGCACGAAAGCGUGGGGAGCAAACAGGAUUAGAUACCCUGGUAGUCCACGCCCUAAACGAUGUCAACUAGUUGUUGGGGAUUCAUUUCCUUAGUAACGUAGCUAACGCGUGAAGUUGACCGCCUGGGGAGUACGGUCGCAAGAUUAAAACUCAAAUGAAUUGACGGGGUCAUAGCUGUUUCU
rnacentral:rRNA from 1 species